UACAGAGGUCCCAAGCGUUGUUCGGAUUUACUGGGCGUAAAGGGUGCGUAGGUGGCGAGGUAAGUUCGAUGUGAAAUCCCCGAGCUCAACUCGGGAACUGCGUCCGAUACUGGCAGGCUUGAAUCCGGGAGAGGGAUGCGGAAUUCCAGGUGUAGCGGUGAAAUGCGUAGAUAUCUGGAGGAACACCGGUGGCGAAGGCGGCAUCCUGGACCGGCAUUGACGCUGAGGCGCGAAAGCCAGGGGAGCAAACGGG
rnacentral:rRNA from 1 species